rnacentral:rRNA from 1 species
GUUUGAUCCUGGCUCAGGAUGAACGCUGGCGGCGUGCCUAACACAUGCAAGUCGAGCGAUUCUCUUCGGAGAAGAGCGGCGGACGGGUGAGUAACGCGUGGGUAACCUGCCCUGUACACACGGAUAACAUACCGAAAGGUAUGCUAAUACGAGAUAAUAUGCUUUUAUCGCAUGGUAGAAGUAUCAAAGCUUUUGCGGUACAGGAUGGACCCGCGUCUGAUUAGCUAGUUGGUAAGGUAACGGCUUACCAAGGCGACGAUCAGUAGCCGACCUGAGAGGGUGAUCGGCCACAUUGGAACUGAGACACGGUCCAAACUCCUACGGGAGGCAGCAGUGGGGAAUAUUGCACAAUGGGCGAAAGCCUGAUGCAGCAACGCCGCGUGAGCGAUGAAGGCCUUCGGGUCGUAAAGCUCUGUCCUCAAGGAAGAUAAUGACGGUACUUGAGGAGGAAGCCCCGGCUAACUACGUGCCAGCAGCCGCGGUAAUACGUAGGGGGCUAGCGUUAUCCGGAUUUACUGGGCGUAAAGGGUGCGUAGGUGGUUUCUUAAGUCAGGAGUGAAAGGCUACGGCUCAACCGUAGUAAGCUCUUGAAACUGGGAAACUUGAGUGCAGGAGAGGAAAGUGGAAUUCCUAGUGUAGCGGUGAAAUGCGUAGAUAUUAGGAGGAACACCAGUAGCGAAGGCGGCUUUCUGGACUGUAACUGACACUGAGGCACGAAAGCGUGGGGAGCAAACAGGAUUAGAUACCCUGGUAGUCCACGCCGUAAACG